ensembl:lncRNA
CCCAAUGGGUUUACUCCAAAGCUGAACAUAGCACAUGUGCAAAAUGGAGUGUACAGAAUCAUUGGAAAGAUGAUGUCUACCAUAAUAGUCCAAGGUGGUGAACCACCAGCAUUCCUUGCACCACAUAUAGUGGACCACAUUGUGACUGACGAUAUCCUGCAAGUACAUGUCACGCCUGAUGACAUAGCUGACGCAGAGUUAAGGGAUUCUCUGACGAAGGUCAAACAAGCAAGCACAGUGGAGGAGCUAGAGGAAGUGCUUGACUGCUGUGACUCAUGGAGAUUUCAGAUUGAGGGUCUUCCAAACAUAGUCACCAUGGACAGAAAAAAUGCAUUUAUUAGGAAUGCAACAUUGUACCAUGCCAUCUUCCACCGACAAAGCUGCUUCAAUCAACUAAUUGAUGGGUCUGUCCUACUAUGGAGGAAGUGAAAGCAAUGUAUUACUUGUGUACAGCAAGGUACUUCCAUUUCUGAGGGAAAAUCGGAGCAUGAGAUUCUUUCUCGACAUGCCUGAGAAGAGAGAGGAGGUCACAGCAGAAGUUCUUGCUUGCCUCUUAAAGCCAAGCUACUCUGUCCUGGGAAGCAACAGAAGGCCAAAAGAGGAGCUCAUGGUGGUCAAGUUUAGAGACUUUCUCCAGUGUUUUGCGAAUAAAGAGCUUGGUGAAAUACUGGGGGCCAGGACGCUGACUGAAGAGGAGCAGGACUUCGUUCAUCACUUGGGCCUCGGUCACAUCCUGGCUUUUGCAACAGGGAGCAGCAAAGUUCCAGCAGUCGGAUUUCACCCAAAUCCUAAAAUUGUGUUUGUUCACGAUGAGACAAAGCAUUACCCUGUUGCGCACACCUGCUCCAAUGAGCUGCUGUUGUUUGUCAAUUCCAAAAACAUGGCAGUUGAUGAGGAGUUUGAGUACCACUUUGUGGUGGCCC